UAUACGACCGUACCGCAAACCGACACUGGUGCGCGAGAUGAGUAUUCUAAGGCGCUUGAGAGAACUCAGGAGAAGGAACUCGGCAAAUUGACACCGUAACUUCGGAAGAAGGUGUGCCCUAUUAGUGUGUAGUGAACAACGAAGCAUGAAUGGGUUGCAAAAAAUCGGUGGCUGCGACUGUUUAUUAAAAACACAGCACUCUGCAAACACGAAAGUGGACGUAUAGGGUGUGACGCCUGCCCGGUGCUGGAAGAUUAAAUGAUGGGGUGCAAGCUCUUGAUUGAAGUCCCAGUAAACGGCGGCCGUAACAAUAACGGUCCUAAGGUAGCGAAAUUCCUUGUCGGGUAAGUUCCGACCUGCACGAAUGGCGUAACGAUGGCCACACUGUCUCCUCCUGAGACUCAGCGAAGUUGAAAUGUUUGUGAUGAUGCAAUCUCCCCGCGGAAAGACGGAAAGACCCCAUGAACCUUUACUGUAGCUUUGUAUUGGACUUUGAACAGAUCUGUGUAGGAUAGGUGGGAGGCUUUGAAGCAGGGUCGCUAGAUCUUGUGGAGCCAACGUUGAAAUACCACCCUGGUGUGUUUGAGGUUCUAACCUAGGUCCAUUAUCUGGAUCGGGGACAGUGCAUGGUAGGCAGUUUGACUGGGGCGGUCUCCUCCCAAAGCGUAACGGAGGAGUUCGAAGGUACGCUAGUUACGGUCGGACAUCGUGACGAUAGUGCAAUGGCAUAAGCGUGCUUAACUGCGAGACUGACAAGUCGAGCAGAUGCGAAAGCAGGACAUAGUGAUCCGGUGGUUCUGUAUGGAAGGGCCAUCGCUCAACGGAUAAAAGGUACUCUGGGGAUAACAGGCUGAUACCGCCCAAGAGUUCAUAUCGACGGCGGUGUUUGGCACCUCGAUGUCGGCUCAUCUCAUCCUGGGGCUGUAGCCGGUCCCAAGGGUAUGGCUGUUCGCCAUGUAAAGAGGUACGUGAGCUGGGUUUAAAACGUCGUGAGACAGUUUGGUCCCUAUCUUCCGUGGGCGCUGCAGAUUUGAGGAAGCCUGCUCCUAGUACGAGAGGACCGGAGUGGACACACCUCUGGUGUAUCGGUUGUCACGCCAGUGGCAUUGCCGAGUAGCUAAGUGUGGAAGAGAUAACCGCUGAAAGCAUCUAAGCGGGAAACUCGUUUCAAGAUGAGAUCUGCCGGGGCCUUGAGCCCCCUAAAGAGUCGUUCAAGACCAGGACGUUGAUAGGUCAGGUGUGGAAGC
rnacentral:rRNA from 1 species